UUUCCUCAGCGUUGAGCACGCCGCUUCCUCUCUGGUGGUCGCUGCUGUUUAUUCAUUCUGCUGGGAGUCGCCCACUUGUCUCCGCGACUGCAGCGUCACACAGCAGGGAGAAGCUGCCAGGAUUCGACGCUCCGGUGAGAGGGGGUUGACACACAGAGCCUUCCCAGACAUCGAUCACCUCACAGGUGCUUAGCAGUCAGGUGUUCCGGUACUGAGCUCCGAGAAAUUGGCAAGGGGAACAACAAAAAUCAACUCAAGUGCCAUAGCAACUGACAACACGUCCCAACUCGCAGUGUUAGAGGAAACCUUUAUCAAAGAGUACUGCCAUGGACCCAAAGGUAAAUGAAUGCCCCUCAACCUCUCCACAGAAACAUAUCGUGAAAAGCAGGUCCAAGUCCACAGAGGAGAUCCAGCAAGCCAAAAAGGCCUUUCACACUCCCCAGAAGUCUCUGCCGGGAAGGUCGGACCUGGAGAAGCUGAAGGAAGCCCCAGAGGGAUCGGACACACCCUCGUCUUCGUCAGAGGAGCUGAAAUGAUACAGGGAAGGAACCGAUCAGCCAUCUGGGUUCACCAGGUCAACAAGGUUCACGAGCUUUCGGAGUAGCAAGAAAACACACACUCACACACACACACACACACACACACACACACACACACAC